CUUCUGCCAUUAUUGUAAGUUUCCUGAGGCCUCCUAACCAUGCUUCCUGUACAGACUAUGGAACUAUAACCCAUGGGCUCCUGAGAGCAGAGAUUGUGACUUACUCAUCUUUGAUGUAGCCAAGUUCUAACAAACCUAAAUGUGCAGCCAUUUGUAAGAGAGGAUCAUGGAAUGAAUACGGGCAUUGAGUCAAGCAGUCUGUGUUCCACUGGCGGUGUGACCUGGGGCAGGCCAUUUCACCUCACUGAGCCUUAGUUUCCUCACCUGUAAAAUGUGAAAAAUAUCACCUUCCUUACCAGGCUUUUCUGAGGAUUUAAUGACAUCAUGUUCAGUGCCCAGUAUGGGUGGAUAAUACCCAGGAGUUUCCUCCUCUUCUCCUCCUAAGUUGACUUGAUGCCCCCCGCUGAAGAUCAUGGCUGAACUGGCUCAAUUCGGAUCCAGGACUCCUGGCUUUGUCUCUUCCCUAGUUGCCCACCACACCCAUGGACACCCUUAGGUAGUUUAUCCUUUUGGGACAACUGGAUUUAUUAGAAAAGGGUAUUCUGGGGUGGAAUAAGGCCCUUUUCAGUCCCCAUGGAGCCUUUUUGGAAGAUGAAGUUCUCAAACCCACAAGAGAAUUCAUAAGACGAGCACACCACCCACAGUUAGGUUUCCCUCUCAAGUGCUUUAUCUCCACGUGGGGCAAAUAGCUCUUUGUCUGCAUAUGUUAUUGGAGCUUUUGGAGUCCAGCCUUCAGAAGAGCUCUAAUUUUUGGAUUCAUAUCAGUUUAUUAGAGAAGCCUAGUUCUAAGGAUUAGCAAAUGGGUAGGUGCUCAGCCAGCCCAGAACAAGCAGAGCCAUGACAGAAGUUUCUGGAAUCUCACAGAGUCGGUGUCUUCAUGGACUCAGGGGGCCUAAAUCCAAUAGCCUGGAUUUGUCACUUUCCCUUAUUCCCUUAUCAAACUCUUCCCUUUUGGACAUCAGAGAAGGAAAGUACUUCCUGUAAGGGGGCAAUUUGCAAAGCUUCAUGGAAGUGGCAUUUGAGUGUGGCCUUAAAGGAUGUGUAGGAUUGGGAACCAUAGAUAUUUAGAGGAAGGCAUUCCUGGCAGAAGGAACAGCAGCAAAACACAGAAGUGGAAAUUAGUAGCAGCAUUAAUGGAGAAUAAUUUGGGGAAUAAGAUAUACAAAUGGAAUAAUAAAAAUAGCAUUAAUUAAA
rnacentral:lncRNA from 1 species